UGGGGAAUAUUGCACAAUGGAGGGAACUCUGAUGCAGCGACGCCGCGUGAGUGAUGAAGGAAUUCGUUUCGUAAAACUCUGUUCUAUGGGAAGAAAAGGACUGUACCAUAGGAGAAAGCUCCGGCUAAAUACGUGCCAGCAGCCGCGGUAAUACGUAUGGAGCGAGCGUUGUCCGGAAUUAUUGGGCGUAAAGGGUGCGCAGGCGGCUUUACAAGUUGGAUGUGAAAUAUUGUGGCUCAACCACAAACGUGCAUCCAAAACUGCAAAGCUUGAGUUAAGGAGAGGUAAGUGGAAUUCCUGGUGUAGCGGUGGAAUGCGUAGAUAUCAGGAGGAAUACCGGUGGCGAAGGCGACUACUGGACUUAAACUGACGCUCAGGCACGAAAGCGUGGGGAGCAAACAGG
rnacentral:rRNA from 1 species